UUUUUCAACUCCAAAGGACUCUUUCCCAAGACUUGUGGGCUGCUCUUCUACUUGAGGAAAAGUUUUCCAAGCAAAAGUCGCGUAUCCAAUGGCUUAAGGAUGGGAUGGAAACAAUGCUUUCUUUCAUAACCAAAUCAAGAACAGGUGGAAUCAAAACAAAAUCUUAUCGAUUGAGAAUGAAUCAGGUGAUCUUUGCUUUGGCC
rnacentral:lncRNA from 1 species